GAGAAGCGAACCUGCGAAGGCAAGCGGAUCUCUUAAAGCCGUUCUCAGUUCGGACUGUAGGCUGCAACUCGCCUACACGAAGCUGGAAUCGCUAGUAAUCGCGGAUCAGCACGCCGCGGUGAAUACGUUCCCGGGCCUUGUACACACCGCCCGUCACACCAUGAGAGUCUGUAACACCCAAAGCCGGUGGGAUAACCUUUAUAGGAGUCAGCCGUCUAAGGUAGGACAGAUGAUUAGGGUGAAGUCGUAACAAGGUAUC
rnacentral:rRNA from 1 species